rnacentral:rRNA from 1 species
AACGAACGCUGGCGGCAUGCCUAACACAUGCAAGUCGAACGAGACCUUCGGGUCUAGUGGCGCACGGGUGCGUAACGCGUGGGAAUCUGCCCUUUGGUUCGGAAUAACAGAUAGAAAUGACUGCUAAUACCGGAUGAUGACUUCGGUCCAAAGAUUUAUCGGCAGAGGAUGAGCCCGCGUAGGAUUAGGUAGUUGGUGGGGUAAAGGCCUACCAAGCCGACGAUCCUUAGCUGGUCUGAGAGGAUGAUCAGCCACACUGGGACUGAGACACGGCCCAGACUCCUACGGGAGGCAGCAGUGGGGAAUAUUGGACAAUGGGCGCAAGCCUGAUCCAGCAAUGCCGCGUGAGUGAUGAAGGCCUUCGGGUCGUAAAGCUCUUUUACCAGGGAUGAUAAUGACAGUACCUGGAGAAUAAGCUCCGGCUAACUCCGUGCCAGCCGCCGCGGUAAGAC